GAUGAACGCUGGCGGCGUGCCUAAUACAUGCAAGUCGAGCGAACAGACGAGGAGCUUGCUCCUCUGACGUUAGCGGCGGACGGGUGAGUAACACGUGGAUAACCUACCUAUAAGACUGGGAUAACUUCGGGAAACCGGAGCUAAUACCGGAUAAUAUAUUGAACCGCAUGGUUCAAUAGUGAAAUACGGUUUUUCUGUCACUUAUAGAUGGAUCCGCGCCGCAUUAGCUAGUUGGUACGGUAACGGCUUACCAAGGCAACGAUGCGUAGCCGACCUGAGAGGGUGAUCGGCCACACUGGAACGGAGACACGGUCCAGACGCCUACGGGAGGCAGCAGUAGGGAAUCGUACGCAGUGGGCGAAAGCCUGACGGAGCAGCGCCGCGUGAGUGAUGAAGGCCUUCGGAGCGUAAAACUCGGUUAUUAGGGAAGAACAAAUGUGUACGUAACUAUGCACGUCUUGACGGUACCUAAUAAGAAAGCCACGGCUAACUACGUG
rnacentral:rRNA from 1 species